rnacentral:rRNA from 1 species
GAUGAACGCUGACAGAAUGCUUAACACAUGCAAGUCGAUGGGGAAGUGGUGCUUGCACCCUGGUAACCAUGGCGGACGGGUGAGUAACGCGUAAGGAACUUACCUGCGGGACCGGGAUAACAGCAGGAAACUGCUGACAAGACCGGAUAAGGUCAUUAAGCUGCAUAGCUUAGUGAUGAAAGGAGACGCCUGCGUAGAGCCUUGCGUCCUAUUAGCUAGUUGGAGGGGUAACGGCCCACCAAGGCGAAGAUAGGUAGCCGGCCUGAGAGGGUGGACGGCCACAAGGGGACUGAGAUACGGCCCUUACUCCUACGGGAGGCAGCAGUGGGGAAUAUUGGACAAUGGGGGCAACCCUGAUCCAGCAAUUCUGUGUGCACGAAGACGGUUUUCGGAUUGUAAAGUGCUUUCAGCAGGGAAGAAGGAAGUGACGGUACCUGCAGAAGAAGCGACGGCUAAAUACGUG